rnacentral:lncRNA from 1 species
ACCAUCAUGCGCUUCAUUUCCACCGUGCCCACUUGCGCUGUGAUCACCAAGGCCCCCUCAUGCGGCUCGAUGGGCUCCGAAGGAUAGUCAGCGUCGGUGAAUGAUAUGACAGUCCCGGGGAAUGGUCUAUCUGCUUUCAGGGGAGCAUCUGUCAUAGUCAUGACCGAAUUCAGGUAAGCCCUUCUCUUCUUCCCUAUCAAUUUCCCCGCGGACCCACCGGUUAUCACAUCGAUAACAUGCCUUGGCGGCAGUACUGGAGCCC